rnacentral:lncRNA from 1 species
AGUCCUCAGUUCAUCUGCAAGCAGUGUGGGGUCAGAGCAGACGGUUCUGGGAAGGAAGGCGGGCCUGCCUUGAAGCACCCCUUUCUCUGGACCCCUAGAAGGAGCGGUGUGGCCAGACGCUGCUUUGUUGACCUCUGAAACUCUUUGGAGGGUCUGAGUAAGGAAGUUAAAACCCAAAGGGCAGAUGGAUGCGGUGCAGCCCCUGGCUUGCUGCACUAGGGGGAAUUUAGGGAAGAACUUAGAGGAACUGGACCUUUGAGACUUGAGAUGGGGGUGGGGGGAGUGAUGGGAGCAAAUGACAUGCACGCAGAGAGCAAGCAUGCAGAGGCCACUGCAUGGCCAAGGAGUCCCCACUUCUGAGUGUCUGCUGCCCAGAGAGGUGGUUCUAGUGUACAGACGAACUGUAUGGUCUGUAAGUUCAGCGGUGUUGAAGUGCGGCUGGGCGACAGAGUUUACUUGGCAUGCAUGAAACCCGAGGCCCUGCAUUAUUUUUUAAAAGCUCCCAGUGGUUAGGGGUCCCCUCCCCCUUACUUAAACUUCCUAGGGUAAAUACCCUCUCAGUUUAAGCUGCAGCCUUUCUACUAAAUUUAGCGACUAGACUUCCGCAUCCCCCUUAGCCACCUGGUCAGCAGGAGCGCAGCUGCAAAGGUGGACCUGAUGGAGUUUCAACACUCCCUCCCGGGCCACUCAUCAAGACUUCACUUUCUGCUCAGCAGGUCUGAGGUUGAGCCCAAAAUACUAGGCUGCUGUCCAGGGCUUGAGUGUGUCUGUCAAGCCGGAGCUUGUGAUCUUCCUUGCCCAUGGCUCCAAAGUGCUGGGCAUGUGUCACCACACCAAAGCUAAAGUUGACAGACUGCUUUCUCC